rnacentral:rRNA from 1 species
AUUGAACGCUGGCGGAAUGCUUUACACAUGCAAGUCGAACGGCAGCACGGACUUCGGUCUGGUGGCGAGUGGCGAACGGGUGAGUAAUAUAUCGGAACGUGCCCAGUCGUGGGGGAUAACGUAGUGAAAAUUACGCUAAUACCGCAUACGAUCUGAGGAUGAAAGCGGGGGACCGUAAGGCCUCGCGCGAUCGGAGCGGCCGAUGUCAGAUUAGGUAGUUGGUGGGGUAAAGGCUCACCAAGCCGACGAUCUGUAGCUGGUCUGAGAGGACGACCAGCCACACUGGGACUGAGACACGGCCCAGACUCCUACGGGAGGCAGCAGUGGGGAAUUUUGGACAAUGGGCGCAAGCCUGAUCCAGCAAUGCCGCGUGCAGGAAGAAGGCCUUCGGGUUGUAAACUGCUUUUGUACGGAACGAAAAGGCUCUGGUUAAUACCUGGGGCUCAUGACGGUACCGUAAGAAUAAGCACCGGCUAACUACGUG